UCGCGGGCUGGAGGACGGCGACGCGUCGGUGCGGCUGCGGGCGGCGCUGACGGUCGGUACGGAUCCGGAUCCGGGGU
rnacentral:tRNA from 1 species